rnacentral:misc_RNA from 1 species
GUGCAUAGCGUUGCCAAACAUGGAUAAACCCGAGGUCAUGGCCGCUAAAAAACCUUUACUUUGAUUCUUAUCUGGAGUACCCAUCUCUGUGUGCUCGACUAGGAAUUAAAACCUGGCCUCGUUAAUUCUGAAUUCAGUUCUGAACUCAAUUCCUCGCUGGAAGAUCCAAGAGGACAAGAACAGCUACUUAAAAACGCAGCAAUGCAGUGCGGGUGAGAUAU